rnacentral:rRNA from 1 species
CCUACGGGAGGCAGCAGUGGGGAAUAUUGGGCAAUGGGGGCAACCCUGGCCCAGCAACGCCGCGUGAGGGAAGAAGGUCUUCGGAUUGUAAACCUCUUUUACCAGGGAAGAAGAAAGUGACGGUACCUGGAGAAAAAGCCACGGCUAACUACGUGCCAGCAGCCGCGGUAAU